ensembl:lncRNA
UGAACGUUCACAUCAUGACUCAGUCCAGGUGCUCACUUAUUAAUCCAGUUCAGACUCAGGAAACACAGCCAAAUAUCAACCAACUCAGUUUUCUCACCUUUGGCAGUACUUGACAAGUUUGGCUGACUCUGUCUUACAAAGCCUCAAACAGAUGCAUUCAGCUUGCUGCUGGUCUCCCAAGUUCCCAAGUGCCAGAACAAGGUAGCCAAGAGUGAUCAGCUGUGGAGAAACCUGUGUCUGAGAAAAUGGAGCUUCUGCAUCUUCUCCAGUCAGUGCCUGGGCGCACAGACACACAGCAGUGUUCCUCAGACAAAGCAGGAGUGCUGGAUGACGCUGGCACAUCAGACACUCUGUCUACAAAGCAGCAGCUGGGAACCUCAGUGUACGGCAGAGAGUACGCUAGAGUCUUAAAUUUGAACAUUAUACCUAGAGAUGGAACUUAAGCCCAUGAGGAUGAAAGCCAUAUACUAAGGAUUGCAGAACAAGAAAAGGAUCCUGAUUUCUCAUCGACAUCCUUGAACAAGGAAGGUAGAAUGAUUACCUCCAAGUCCCUGCUAAGUCUGAAAACUCAAACCCUGUUUGGCAAACCACUGUAGUUCAGGUGUAGUUAAGUUACAUGUGGCCAAAGAAAAUCUUAGCCAAUAAACUAUGCCAAGGGGAAACCAAGAGGUCUACCAUACUGAUUGUUUUCAGUCUGUUUAUCUUCCAGGAGCAACACCAUGAAUUUCAUUGGCCUUUCUUGACGUGACAUCAGUUGUGUGUAUUUUCAUGCUACUUCUCUCCAUGCAUGAGGAACCCAGGCAUUUCAAGUUGAGAAAACAUUUCACAGCAGAAGCUAAAUAUUCUGAACUUGCAAGCAACAAGAUGAGAAACAUGAUCUCUCUGUUUCAGAUUCACAGAUACUUUACAGCAGAUCUCUGAAUUCUGAAAGGAAUACCAUUUCCACCUCUGAGUCUAGAUGAUUAUAUUGGAACUAAAUGAAUGAUGUCAGAAACCAGGUCUUUAACAACACUACACAAAGAAAUAUGCUAAUGUAGGAUCUACUUUUAUCAUUUUUCUGACUGUGAUUAAACCCAACAAUAACCACAAGAACAAGGGAAGGCAAGAAACCAACGCUGUGAAAAGUAGCCCUAUAGAGAGAAACAUAAGGAAACAUAAGAGGCUCAGGAAGAGAUUGCUGAUUUGAUAGCUGACCAGCCUCACCACAGUUUCUAAUUUUGUGAGGGCUUUCCAAGGUUUGACUUCAGUAUCCCCUUCUGUGAAACGGAGGCCAGAUCAUGCCUCACAGACCAUGCUUUGAUGUUUUGAAGACAAAAAUAUUUUUUUGCAUGGUUAUCCAGAUUUAUUUUCCCUGACUACAUUUCCCAAAAGAAGCACAGAGAUAUCUUUUUCUUCAGGUUGGUAGCUCUAAUUUGAGUUUCAAAUAUAUUAUCAUGUAAAGCAACUAUCCUCCAAUUAAAAAGAAAUAAAAUUUUUAAAUAUAUUAAAAAAUAAAGUUCCCAGGAAAAAUAAACCAAAAAAGUAUCAUAUUAUGCAAAAAUUUGAUAUGAAGCAACUUUUUUUUUAUCUGCAGUAACUUUUAUUUUCAGUUUACUAAAUCCUGCCUAAAUUCACUGUAUCUUAAAAACAUGAUUUACU